UGGGGAAUAUUGCACAAUGGGCGCAAGCCUGAUGCAGCCAUGCCGCGUGUAUGAAGAAGGCCUUCGGGUUGUAAAGUACUUUCAGCGGGGAGGAAGGGAGUAAAGUUAAUACCUUUGCUCAUUGACGUUACCCGCAGAAGAAGCACCGGCUAACUCCGUGCCAGCAGCCGCGGUAAUACGGAGGGUGCUAGCGUUAAUCGGAAUUACUGGGCGUCAAGCGCACGCAGGCGGUUUGUUAAGUCAGAUGUGAAAUCCCCGGGCUCAACCUGGGAACUGCAUCUGAUACUGGAAAGCUUGAGUCUCGUAGAGGGGGGUAGAAUUCCAGGUGUAGCGGUGAAAUGCGUAGAGAUCUGGAGGAAUACCGGUGGCGAAGGCGGCCCCCUGGACAAAGACUGACGCUCAGGUGCGAAAGCGUGGGGAGCAAACAGG
rnacentral:rRNA from 1 species